GUGCCAGCCGCCGCGGUAAUACGUAGGGGGCGAGCGUUAUCCGGAAUUACUGGGCGUAAAGAGUGCGUAGGUGGUUGCUUAAGCGUGGGGUGAAAGGCAAUGGCUUAACCAUUGUGAGCCUCGCGAACUGGGCGACUUGAGUGCAGGAGAGGAAAGCGGAAUUCCUAGUGUAGCGGUGAAAUGCGUAGAUAUUAGGAGGAACACCAGUGGCGAAGGCGGCUUUCUGGACUGUAACUGACACUGAGGCACGAAAGCGUGGGGAGCAAACAGGAUUAGAUACCCUGGUAGUCCACGCCGUAAACGAUGAGCACUAGGUGUCGGGGCCGCAAGGUUUCGGUGCCGCAGUUAACGCAUUAAGUGCUCCGCCUGGGGAGUACGCACGCAAGUGUGAAACUCAAAGGAAUUGGCGG
rnacentral:rRNA from 1 species